rnacentral:rRNA from 1 species
GACGAACGCUGCCGGCGUGCUUAACACAUGCAAGUCGAACGGAAAGGCCCUGCUUUUGUGGGGUGCUCGAGUGGCGAACGGGUGAGUAACACGUGAGUAACCUGCCCUUGACUUUGGGUUAACUUCAGGAAACUGGGGCUAAUACCGGAUAGGAGCUCCUGCUGCAUGGUGGGGGUUGGAAAGUUUCGGCGGUUGGGGAUGGACUCGCGGCUUAUCAGCUUGUUGGUGGGGUAGUGGCUUACCAAGGCUUUGACGGGUAGCCGGCCUGAGAGGGUGACCGGCCACAUUGGGACUGAGAUACGGCCCAGACUCCUACGGGAGGCAGCAGUGGGGAAUAUUGCACAAUGGGCGGAAGCCUGAUGCAGCAACGCCGCGUGCGGGAUGACGGCCUUCGGGUUGUAAACCGCUUUCGCCUGUGACGAAGCGUGAGUGACGGUAAUGGGUAAAGAAGCACCGGCUAACUACGUG